UGGUACGUUCCGUCAUCAUCCUCCAGCUGCUUGCAUAGCUCGCCAAUUGUCGGUGCAUGCAAGUCGGCCUCCACGUAUGAAUUACGCGACUGAGUAACCAUCUCAUGAGGGAUCUAAUGGAUGUAUAAAAGCAUGAGAUUGAAAGCAUUGUGCUGUGGCAGUAAACGGCCUCGGAUGAGGGCUGUAACUAUCCCCGGGUGCUGUAGAUGGUCUGGGUUAGGCAAACAAAAAGUUCUCAUGAUUGUUACUGGAGAUAGUGGGACCCAAGUGAAGAGAGGAUUUCUAAGCUGGGGGCCCUUUUAUUCCCGUGGCCUAAAGAGCUUUGAAUGUGGCUGCUAAAAUAGGGGGCUGCUCAGCCAGGGAGAUCUGGGAGAGCACUCACUUACAUGAAAUAUCUAUCAGUUUCAGUUCUAUCAAAGACACCCACAGCACGUAGGGUGGCAUUUAUUUUUUCACACGAGACAGUAGCAGCGUAACCGACAACAAAGCCAUCCUUAUGUCACCAUAGAGAUGCUGGGAAGUCAUGGGCAGAAUCACGUUGGAGGUGGAACUGUUUCCAAUUGUCUUCCAUUUAUCCCGUGGCUACUUUGGAAUUUAGAUGAGUUGCUUCAGGGUUGUUUAGAGUCACAGUAUAUUGAGCUGUGUGAGGCAACCCUCGCGCUCCCUGCUCAGGAUGGUUGCCAUGGUUACCGUGGUAAUUCAAGUGCUGUUUUCAUCUCGGCUUGAAGAAAAGUGCAUGGACCGCCUUGCCCUACAAGGGAACGAUGCGGACCCACCAGUCGUUGGCUUAGUGCACUCGUCUAUUCUUAAUACUGUCUGGCUAAUUGGGGAGAAAAACACACACAUCAGACGCUUGUCAUGCCGUUACGUCAGGGAGAAGCUCAGAACACUGAGGAGGAUUCCCGUCAGUGUUUUUGGAAUUAGUUAAAUCAGUAUGUUUAGUCUUGACAGAUGAACGUCUGAUGGAGUGAGGUAAUAAAUUCAAUAAACAGUA